rnacentral:rRNA from 1 species
UUAAUUGAAGAGUUUGAUCAUGGCUCAGAUUGAACGCUGGCGGCAGGCCUAACACAUGCAAGUCGAGCGGCAGCACAAGGGAGUUUACUCCUGAGGUGGCGAGCGGCGGACGGGUGAGUAAUGCCUAGGGAUCUGCCCAGUCGAGGGGGAUAACAGUUGGAAACGACUGCUAAUACCGCAUACGCCCUACGGGGGAAAGAGGGGGACCUUCGGGCCUCUCGCGAUUGGAUGAACCUAGGUGGGAUUAGCUAGUUGGUGAGGUAAUGGCUCACCAAGGCGACGAUCCCUAGCUGUUCUGAGAGGAUGAUCAGCCACACUGGGACUGAGACACGGCCCAGACUCCUACGGGAGGCAGCAGUGGGGAAUAUUGCACAAUGGGGGAAACCCUGAUGCAGCCAUGCCGCGUGUGUGAAGAAGGCCUUCGGGUUGUAAAGCACUUUCAGUAGGGAGGAAAGGGUGAGUCUUAAUA